UGUGACUUUGGGUGAAUCACUGAAUUUUUGUGGGCUGCAUUUUCAUUUAUGAUGGGUUGGAUUACAUCAGUCGUUUUCAAACUUUUAAAAAGAAAUUCCAGACCCAGAUGAUUUUAUUAGUGAAUUCCAUCAAAUGUUUAAAGAAGAACAAAUACCCAUUCUAUGCAAUAUUGUCUAGAAAAUGGAAGCAGAGGAAACACUUCUCAAUUCAUUUUAUGAAGUUAGUAUUAACCUUAUACCCAAACCAGAUAUGACAAGAAAAUAAAACUACAGACCAAUACCUUUAAAAUCCCAUGAUCAUAUCAAUAGAUAUAGAAAAGGUACUUGACAAAAUUCCACACCCGUUCAUAGGAAAAACUCAGAAAUAUAAGAAUAGAGGAGAACUUCUUUAACUUGAUACACAAUCUACAAAAACUUAUAGCUAACAUACUUAAUGGUGAAAAACUGAAUUCUUUCCUCCUGAGAUCAGGUUAAGUCACCAUCAAUGCAGGCUGCAGGAUAAACAUAUAAAAAGCAAAUUGUUUCUGUAUACUAGCAACAACCAAGCUGGAAAACACUCUGCAGGAUAUUAUCCAGGAGAACUUCCCCAAUCUAGCAAGGCAGGCCAACAUUCAGAUUCAGGAAAUACAGAGAACGCCACAAAGAUACUCCUCGAGAAGAGCAACUCCAAGACACGUAAUUGUCAGUUUCACCAAAGUUGAAAUGAAGGAAAAAAUGUUAAGGGCAGCCAGAGAGAAAGGUCGGGUUACCCUCAAAGGGAAGCCCAUCAGACUAACAGCGGAUCUCUCGGCAGAAACCCUACAAGCCAGAAGAGAGUGGGGGCCAAUAUUCAACAUUCUUAAAGAAAAGAAUUUUCAACCCAGAAUUUCAUAUCCAGCCAAACUAAGCUUCAUAAGUGAAGGAGAAAUAAAAUAAGUGAAGGAGAAAUAAAAUACUUUACAGACAAGCAAAUGCUGAGAGAUUUUGUGACCACCAGGCCUGCCCUAAAAGAGCUCCUGAAGGAAGCGCUAAACAUGGAAAGGAACAACCAGUACCAGCCGCUGCAAAAUCAUGCCAAAAUGUAAAGACCAUCGAGACUAGGAAGAAACUGCAUCAACUAACGAGCAAAAUAACCAGCUAACAUCAUAAUGACAGGAUCAAAUUCACACAUAACAAUAUUAACUUUAAAUGUAAAUGGACUAAAUGCUCCAAUUAAAAGACACAGACUGGCAAAUUGGAUAAAGAGUCAAGACCCAUCAGUGUGCUGUAUUCAGGAAACCCAUCUCACGUGCUCUACGCAAAUAAACUAGAAAAUCUAGAAGAAAUGGAUAAAUUCCUCAACACAUACACUCUCCCAAGACUAAACCAGGAAGAAGUUGAAUCUCGGAAUAGACCAGUAACAGGAGCUGAAAUUGUGGCAAUAAUCAAUAGUUUACCAACCAAAAAGAGUCCAGGACCAGAUGGAUUCACAGCUGAAUUCUAUCAGAGGUACAAGGAGGAGCUGGUACCAUUCCUUCUGAAACUAUUCCAAUCAAUAGAAAAAGAGGGAAUCCUCCCUAACUCAUUUUAUGAGGCCAGCAUCAUUCUGAUACCAAAGCCGAGCAGAGACACAACCAAAAAAGAGAAUUUUAGAUCAAUAUCCUUGAUGAACAUUGAUGCAAAAAUCCUCAAUAAAACACUGGCAAAAUGAAUCCAUCAAAAAGCUUAUCCACCAUGAUCAAGUGGGCUUCAUCCCUGGGAUGCAAGGCUGGUUCAACAUAUGCAAAUCAAUAAAUGUAAUCCAGCAUAUAAACAGAGCCAAAGACAAAAACCACAUGAUUAUCUCAAUAGAUGCAGAAAAGGCCUUUGACAAAAUUCAACAACCCUUCAUGCUAAAAACUCUCAAUAAAUUAGGUAUUGAUGGGACGUAUUUCAAAAUAAUAAGAGCUAUCUAUGACAAACCCACAGCCAAUAUCAUACUGAAUGGGCAAAAACUGGAAGCAUUCCCUUUGAAAACUGGCACAAGACAGGGAUGCCCUCUCUCACCACUCCUAUUCAACAUAGUGUUGGAAGUUCUGGCCAGGGCAAUUAGGCAGGAGAAGGAAAUAAAGGGUAUUCAAUUAGGAAAAGAGGAAGUCAAAUUGUCCCUGUUUGCAGACGACAUGAUUGUAUAUCUAGAAAACCCCACUGUCUCAGCCCAAAAUCUCCUUAAGCUGAUAAGCAACUUCAGCAAAGUCUCAGGAUACAAAAUCAAUGUACAAAAAUCACAAGCAUUCUUAUACACCAAUAACAGACAAACAGAGAGCCAAAUCAUGAGUGAACUCCCAUUCACAAUUGCUUCAAAGAGAAUAAAAUACCUAGGAAUCCAACUUACAAGGGAUGUGAAGGACCUCUUCAAGGAGAACUACAAACCACUGCUCAAGGAAAUAAAAGAGGAUACAAACAAAUGGAAGAACAUUCCAUGCUCACGGGUAGGAAGAAUCAAUAUCGUGAAAAUGGCCAUACUGCCCAAGGUAAUUUACAGAUUCAAUGCCAUCCCCAUAAAGCUACCAAUGACUUUCUUCACAGAAUUGGAAAAAACUACUUUAAAGUUCAUAUGGAACCAAAAAAGAGCCCGCAUCUCCAAGGCAAUCCUAAGCCAAAAGAACAAAGCUGGAGGCAUCACACUACCUGACUUCAAACUAUACUACAAGGCUACUGUAACCAAAACAGCAUGGUACUGGUACC
rnacentral:lncRNA from 1 species